rnacentral:tRNA from 1 species
GGGGCCCUAGUAAAUUAAUUAUAUAGCCCUGUCAGAGCUAAGUUAUAGACUAAAACCUAUGAGCCCCC